GUGGUGCUGAGGCUCGAACCCAGGUCCCGCCCGUGCUAGGCGAGUGCUGUAUCGCUGAGCCACAGUCGCAGCCCCUAAAAGUUAACAUCUUUAUAUAUAUAUAAACAAUGUGUGUGCAUUUUUAAAGAAUCAGUGUAGAGAAAACACUCAUGGUCCUCCACGGGACAUCUGGAGCUAGCAAAAGUCAUGUUGCGAUUCAUGAAUGACCAAACUCCGGGAAAUGCUGCCUUAGUAACAUCUGUCAGAAUGGACGGGUCCGGAUGUCUGCUAGGCGGGCCACGCUGAAAGCCAGCCCAGCCCUUUCUGCAACAGCGUCCAAGUCUUGGUUUGUCUGUGUCCCGCUUCUCGCUUCUCGUCCCAAAGGUUCAUUUACCAAGCGAAAGUCGGGGGCCGCUGGUUUCCAGCCGUCUGCGCGCACAGCAAGAAGCAAGGCAAGCAGGAAGCAGCCGAUGCGGCCCUCCGCGUCCUGAUUGGGGAGAGCGAGAAGGCAGAGCGCAUGGGUUUCACAGAGGUAACCCCAGUGACAGGGGCCAGUCUCAGAAGAACUAUGCUCCUCCUCUCCAGGUCCCCAGAAGCGCAGCCAAAGACAGUUAAGACGUCUACUUUUGGUGCUAUCUUUUUGUUUUGGGGGUGGAGCUGGCUUGUCACUAGCUGUCAUGUGAAUUGUCCCUUGGCUAUGCUACUAGCCUCAAUAGAGCAUAUAACUGGGACACUAGAUGUGAAAGGGGAAAGAAAGGUGGUGCACGAGUCCAUUAGCACGUGACCCCCUGCCCACUGUGAAGCAUGGUGGACGCGGGCGUGGCUGCAUGACCCUCACAGCCCCCUGUCCCCACAGCUUCCUCUCACUGGCAGUACCUUCCACGACCAGAUAGCGAUGCUGAGCCACCGGUGCUUCAACACCCUCACAAACAGUUUCCAGCCCUCCCUGCUCGGCCGCAAAAUCCUAGCCGCCAUCAUUAUGAAGAAAGACCCUGAGGACAUGGGUGUCGUGGUCAGCUUGGGGACAGGUGAGAGAGGGUCUCCCCAGCCACCAGCCUCUCAGUGACUGGAAGCAGGUCUUCCUCACCCUCCCCUGAGUCCAUGUGAGCAAGUCCAAGCCCGGGGACCAGGCCGCGCGUCCCCUUGUCCUGACAUGGAUCUUAAAAAGCUCUGGAUUUUGGCCAGGUGCCAGGGUGCCUUUAAUGCCACCCACUCAGGAGGCUGCGGCAGGGUGAUGGAGAAUUCAGAGCCAGCUCAGCAACUGAGCAAGACCUAAGCAACAGCAAGACCCUGCCUCUCAAAAAAUACUGCCGAGGGCUGGGCAUGUGGCUCAGGGGCUAAGUGCCCACGGGUUCAAUCCCCAGUACACCCCCUCAAAAAAAAGCUUUGCAUUUUGGAACACUUCAGAUUUCCACAUUAGGGAUGCUCAACUAGCAGACUCCAUGCAAAUAUUCCAAAAUCUGAACAACUCCAGACUCUGAAACACUGUGGUCCUGAGCACUUGGGUAAAGGACACUCACCUGCGUGUCAUUUAGCUGCAGUCAGCUCAGGGUGGGGGUGGACUCCUUCUCCCUAGGUAAGAGGAUGACUGUCCAGGCUGUUCUCCGCGAGCCUGAAGACAGACUGCCCCACCCACUUCACCCUCCUUCUCCUUUGACUUUUCCCUUUUUCUCCCAAUCCUUCAGGGAAUCGCUGUGUCAAAGGAGACUCCCUCAGCCUCAAGGGAGAGACCGUCAACGACUGUCAUGCGGAGAUCAUCUCCCGAAGAGGCUUCAUCAGGUGAGCGAGCACCUGCCGGGGCUGCCCCCGCCCACCUGGGCACAGUGGCUCCGGCACAGGCCUUCCUGACACCCCGGCAGACGGCAGGUCCCUGAGCCAGCAGUGGUGGCCUUCGGGUUUAUCCUGUGAUCUGAGCCCUCGUAGAGCCAGUCCCCUCUGUGACCCUCUGCCUCCCACCCCCAGCCUGGUCCUAAGACCUUUUUUCUGCCAACUCUGCUGUCUUCUGUUUCUCAAAACAAAGUGACCCUGGGUCCUCGGGCCUUGGGGAUGAGGCGGCCUCCAUCUCCAUUUGAGGACCCAUCAGCACCUCGUGUCGCCGCGGCUUCUCCUCUGGUUCACCUUUUCUCUAAUUUGUGAAGGGAGCGGGGAAGAGGCAGCUGCCUCCCGAAGCCUUGAGCCAGUUCCUUCUGCCUGGAGUCCCUGCAGCCGCCACAGCAAGGGGCCUUUGGCGGAAAUGAAACGGACCGAAAGGCUCACUGUGCUUUAUGAAAUGCUGAGGUCUCUCUGGGAAGCUUCCCCACCUGAGAAGCUAGAAGAGCUGCACCAGGAAACUUGUCCCCACUUGGGGCUCAGAUAGGGGUCAGCUCCAAGCACCAUCUGCUCUCGCCAGAAUCCAGCCUGCCGUCCUAACUGCACGUCUUUUACAGGUUCCUUUACAGUGAGUUAAUGAAAUACAACCCCCAGACUGCGAAGGACAGUAUAUUUGAGCUUGCCAGGGGAGGAGAGAAGCUCCAGAUAAAAAAGACUGUUUCGUUCCACCUGUACAUCAGGUCUGUACCCUGCCGGGCUCCCAGGAUGGGCUUCCACCUGCUCUGCCGGCCCCUAAAUCUGACCCCACGCAACAGGCCACACGCUCCACUGAGGUACCAUGAGGUACAUUCCCCAGUGGAGGAUGACUGUCCUAGACACAGCUGCCCCCUCCAGCAUCCCCUGGUGGGCUCCAGGAAACAUCCCAGCUCCAGCCGCAGCAGACUAGGGACCCCGAGAAGUUGGAGUUCCCUCCUGCGCAGGUGAGUGACGGACACCCCUGUGUUGCAGCACUGCCCCGUGUGGAGACGGCGCCCUCUUCGACAAGUCCUGCAGUGACCGCGCCCUGGAAAGCACAGAUUCCCGCCACUACCCUGUCUUUGAGAAUCCCAAACAAGGCAAGCUGCGCACCAAGGUGGAGAAUGGUGAGUGCCACACAGGCUCUGCGAGACCCCCGUGUGCGCCACUCGUCACGGGGGAGGACUGUAGGGAGGGGAAGUUCCAUUCUGAAUCUGUUAGCUCAGGUGAUGAGAGCCUGGGGGGGAAGAAAGGACAGAGCGUGUCCUCCUGGGGUCUCCACGGCCGGCACAGGCAGAGUGCGGGGGGAGGGCGGCGGAAGUGAAAAGUCAGGCCCUCCGUCUGGUGGCCUCGGACCUGGCCUCCUGCCCCCUCGCGCCUUCCUGCCUGUCCCCCAGCAUCUCCUUCUCCUCCGGUCACCCCUGCUCCCUUCAUGCUUCAGCAGUCGUCUGCGUCACUGUCAAGCCCAAGUCAGGUCACGUCAGUUCCCUGCUGGCCACCCUGAAGUCUGGACAGCACCACGUGGCCCAGCAGUCCUCCUGGGCUAUCCCCAGGAGAAGUGAAAGCCCAGGUCCACACAGAGCUAGUUCGGGCGCCUUCACAGCAGCCGGGCAGGGGACACGGCCAGCGCCCUCCCCUCCAUGACAGAAAAGUAAAACCGCCACAUCCAUGCGAGGGACUGUCCUUGGCCAUGACAUGAAGUAAGCAUUGACCCAGCUACAGUGAGGUCACCCUGAAAACGUCAUGCUAAGCGCAAAAAGCCCCAAAAGAUCACGUGGUGUGACUCCAUUUCUAUGAAAUAUCCAGAAUAAAUGAGUUCUACAGACAGGAAGUGCCUGAGAGGCUGCCCGGAUGAGGGACGGAGGGAGGUGGGAGUGAGAGCCAGCCGAGGUCGGGUUGGGGUUGAUCGUGCCGAUGUAUAAUCCCAUGGUGCAUAACCUCAGAAACGCCAAAAACCACUGAACAGCUUGCUUUCAAUGGCGAGUUGUAGUAUACGACUUGUAUCUCAGUAAAGCUGGUAUUUUUUAAAAAAACGCAAGCACCAUGUAGGGUCUCCCACUGCCCUUGAUACGAAGGCAACCUGAGCCAGGCACAGUGGCCCAGGCCUGCAAUCCCAGCAGCUCCGGAGGCUGAGGCAGGAGGAUCACGAGUUCAAAGCCAGCCUUAGCGAGGCCCAGAGCAACUCAGCAAGACCCUGUCUGUACUGAAAGCCCACCUCCCGGCCUCAGCCUGCCCAGUCUUCUCUUUGGUGAUUCUCUGGUGCCCCCGAAACACCGAAACCCUCGCUGCCUCAGGCCGUGGCUUCUGCCGCUCGCUCCCUGUCUGAAUGGGUUAGGACUCUUCUCCCUCCAGCUGCUCCCUGCCUCCUCCACCCAGGAGCUCGCGGUGCCGUCCCCCCGGCUCUCCCACAGGCCUUCCCCACGCUGUCAGCAUCUGGAGUUCCCACCUGCUCACUGGUGCAUCUGCUUAGUGCUCUCCUUUCCCUUUCUGUCCCUCACCCCUGAACACCGCGGGACAGCACGGACCUCACUGAGGUCUGCUCCCCAGUGUUUCCCAGCUCCCAGCACAGUGACCGCCGUGUCCUCCAGGACUGUGAGCCACAUGGAGAAUGAAGGGCCGAGCUGCCGGUGGCCCGGCCUCAGGAGCUCAAGUCCCGCGCUAGGGGUGGUUUGGUGGCCUCUGUGGAUCUGACCCGAGUCUCUCACACAGGGGAAGGCACCAUCCCUGUGGAGUCCAGUGACAUUGUGCCUACGUGGGAUGGCAUCCGGCUUGGGGAGAGACUCCGCACCAUGUCCUGUAGUGACAAAAUCCUACGCUGGAACGUGCUGGGCCUGCAAGGGGCACUGCUGACCCACUUCCUACACCCUGUGUAUCUCAAAUCUGUCACACUGGGUAAGGGACCUGCCUUGGGAGUUGGAACCCACCUGUCCUUCUCCACCCCAGUCCCAGAAAACUUCAUGCUUCAGUCAACCCACUUUCCACAGUGAGCUCAGCCCCGUCGUCAG
rnacentral:lncRNA from 1 species